rnacentral:rRNA from 1 species
AGUGAACGCUGGCGGUAGGCCUAACACAUGCAAGUCGAACGGCAGCACAGGAGAGCUUGCUCUCUGGGUGGCGAGUGGCGGACGGGUGAGGAAUACAUCGGAAUCUACUCUGUCGUGGGGGAUAACGUAGGGAAACUUACGCUAAUACCGCAUACGACCUACGGGUGAAAGCAGGGGACCUUCGGGCCUUGCGCGAUUGAAUGAGCCGAUGUCGGAUUAGCUAGUUGGCGGGGUAAAGGCCCACCAAGGCGACGAUCCGUAGCUGUUCGGAGAGGAUGAUCAGCAACACUGGAACUGAGACACGGUCCAGAUUCCUACGGGAGUCAGCAGUGGGGAAUAUUGGACAAUGGGCGCAAGCCUGAUCCAGCCAUACCGCGUGGGUGAAGAAGGCCUUCGGGUUGUAAAGCCCUUUUGUUGGGAAAGAAAUCCAGCUGGCUAAUACCCGGUUGGGAUGACGGCACCCAAAGAAUAAGCACCGGCUAACUUCGUGCCAGCAGCCGCCGUAA